rnacentral:rRNA from 1 species
UACGUAGGGGGCAAGCGUUGUCCGGAAUCAUUGAGCGUAAAGAGCGUGUAGGCGGCCCGAUAAGUCCGCUGUGAAAGUCCAGGGCUCAACCCUGGGAUGCCGGUGGAUACUGUCGGGCUCGAGUCCGGAAGAGGCGAGUGGAAUUCCUGGUGUAGCGGUGAAAUGCGCAGAUAUCAGGAAGAACACCCGUGGCUAAGGCGGCUCUCUAGUACGGUACUGACGCUGAGACGCGAAAGCGUGGGGAGCGAACAGG